UGAGUAACCUGCCCUUCACUCUGGGAUAACUCCGGGAAACCGGGGCUAAUACUGGAUAUGACUCGAACAGGCAUCUGUUUCGGGUGGAAAGAUUUAUUGGUGGAGGAUGGACUCGCGGCCUAUCAGCUUGUUGGUGAGGUAAUGGCUCACCAAGGCGACGACGGGUAGCCGGCCUGAGAGGGCGAUCGGCCACACUGGGACUGAGACACGGUCCAGACUCCGUACGGGAGCA
rnacentral:rRNA from 1 species